AUUGAACGCUGGCGGCAGGCCUAACACAUGCAAGUCGAGCGGAUGAAGGGAGCUUGCUCCUGGAUUCAGCGGCGGACGGGUGAGUAAUGCCUAGGAAUCUGCCUGGCAGUGGGGGAUAACGUCCGGAGACGGGCGCUAAUACCGCAUACGUCCUGAGGGAGCAAGUGGGGGAUCUUCGGACCUCACGCUAUCAGAUGAGCCUAGGUCGGAUUAGCUAGUUGGUGGGGUAAAGGCCUACCAAGGCGACGAUCCGUAACUGGUCUGAGAGGAUGAUCAGUCACACUGGAACUGAGACACGGUCCAGACUCCUACGGGAGGCAGCAGUGGGGAAUAUUGGACAAUGGUCGAAAGCCUGAUCCAGCCAUGCCGCGUGUGUGAAGAAGGUCUUCGGAUUGUAAAGCACUUUAAGUUGGGAGGAAGGGCAGUAAGUUAAUACCUUGCUGUUUUGACGUUACCAACAGAAUAAGCACCGGCUAACUUCGUG
rnacentral:rRNA from 1 species